ACCUGGCAAGGAAGGACUCUGGUUAGCAAUGCUGGCAAUAUAAGCCUGUCCCCUGCCCCCAG
rnacentral:miRNA from 1 species